rnacentral:rRNA from 1 species
AUACGGAGGGUGCAAGCGUUAUUCGGAAUCACUGGGCGUAAAGGACGCGUAAGCGGGUUGGCAAGUCAGAUGUGAAAUCCUACAGCUUAACUGUAGAACUGCAUUUGAAACUGCUAACCUAGAGUAUGGGAGGGGGAGAUGGAAUUAGUGGUGUAGGGGUAAAAUCCGUAGAUAUCACUAGGAAUACCGAAAGCGAAGGCGAUCUCCUGGAACAUAACUGACGCUAAGGCGUGAAAGCGUGGGGAGCAAACAGGAUUAGAAACCCUAGUAGUCC